rnacentral:lncRNA from 1 species
UGACACCAUUUAUUGAAGAGACUAUCCUUUUCCCACUGUGUGUUCGUGGAAACUUUGGUGAAGAUUGGUUGUCAGUAAAUGUGCGGAUUUAUUCCUGGGCUCCGUGUUCUGCACCACUGGCCUGUCUGUUUUUAGGUCAUUACUAACCACUUUGAUUGCACUAAAUAGACUGUUAUAUUAAGAGUGUGCCCAUGUUACUGACAUUUUAUAAUCAAGAAAACUGAUACAGAAAAUAUUUGGGGGGCUUGUUAAGAUUAGUGAUUAUGGUAACACAGUCUCGUGGAUUAAUUUUUUUAUUUGUAAAGUAUUCACAUAAAUUAUUACAAAGAUGAUAUGUCUUUGAACAGAGAGGUCCUGGGAAGAUUUGAAAUUAACUAGAAACAUUCUUACAAAUCUUCCCUGCAGAAGCCGUUUUCAAAAAGUAAAUUUUCUUUAGUAGAAUCUUCAAUGCAUCAUUUAAUUUUUUUAUU